UACGGAGGGAGCUAGCGUUGUUCGGAAUUACUGGGCGUAAAGCGCGCGUAGGCGGCUUUGUAAGUUAGAGGUGAAAGCCCGGGGCUCAACCCCGGAAUUGCCUUUGAGACUGCAUCGCUAGAAUUGUGGAGAGGUAAGUGGAAUUCCGAGUGUAGAGGUGAAAUUCGUAGAUAUUCGGAAGAACACCAGUGGCGAAGGCGGCUCGCUGGGCUCUACCUGACGCUGAGGCGCGAAAGCGUGGGGAGCGAACCGG
rnacentral:rRNA from 1 species